rnacentral:rRNA from 1 species
UCUAGAGAAACUGCCGGUGACAAGCCGGAGGAAGGCGGGGAUGACGUCAAGUCCUCAUGGCCCUUAUGGGCUGGGCUACACACGUGCUACAAUGGCGGUGACAGUGGGCAGCGAAGGGGCGACCCCUAGCUAAUCCUCAAAAACCGUCUCAGUUCGGAUUGCACUCUGCAACUCGAGUGCAUGAAGGUGGAAUCGCUAGUAAUCGCGGAUCAGCAUGCCGCGGUGAAUACGUUCCCGGGCCUU